rnacentral:rRNA from 1 species
AUUGAACGCUGGCGGCAUGCCUUACACAUGCAAGUCGAACGGCAGCACGGGUGCUUGCACCUGGUGGCGAGUGGCGAACGGGUGAGUAAUACAUCGGAACAUGUCCUGUAGUGGGGGAUAGCCCGGCGAAAGCCGGAUUAAUACCGCAUACGAUCUACGGAGGAAAGCGGGGGACCUUCGGGCCUCGCGCUAUAGGGUUGGCCGAUGGCUGAUUAGCUAGUUGGUGGGGUAAAGGCCUACCAAGGCGACGAUCAGUAGCUGGUCUGAGAGGACGACCAGCCCAACCGGGACUGAGAACAGGGCCCGAACCCCUACGGGGGCAGGCGGGGGGAAUUUUGGAACAAGGGGGAAAGCCUGAUCCAGGCAUGGCGGCUGGGUGGAGAAGGCCUUCCGGUUGGAAAGCAAUUUUGUUCGGAAAGAAAUCCUUGGCCCUAAUACGGUCGGGGGAUGACGGUACCGGAAGAAUAAGCACCGGCUAACUACGUG